rnacentral:rRNA from 1 species
AUUGAACGCUGGCGGCAUGCUUUACACAUGCAAGUCGAACGGUAACAGGCUGCAAGGUGCUGACGAGUGGCGAACGGGUGAGUAAUGCAUCGGAACGCGCCCAGUCGUGGGGGAUAACUACUCGAAAGAGUAGCUAAUAUAGCCUACGAUCUAAGGCUGACAGCGGGGGACCGUAAGGCCUCGUCCGACUGGAGCGGAUGAUGUCAGAUUAGGUAGUUGGUGGGGUAAAGGCUCACCAAGGCAACGAUCUGUAGCUGGUCUGAGAGGACGACCAGCCACACUGGGACUGAGACACGGCCCAGACUCCUACGGGAGGCAGCAGUGGGGAAUUUUGGACAAUGGGCGCAAGCCUGAUCCAGCAAUGCCGCGUGCGGGAAGAAGGCCUUCGGGUUGUAAACUGCUUUUGUACGGAACGAAACGGCGCUGGUUAAUACCCGGGGCUAAUGACGGUACCGUAAGAAUAAGCACCGGCUAACUACGUG